GCGGGCUGGAAUCUCUCGGGGUUACAGCCUUGCUGAAUUAUUCACCCUUGUCUUUUGCGUACUUCUUGUUUCCUUGGUGGGUUCGCCCACCACUAGGACAAACAUAAACCUUUUGUAAUUGCAAUCAGCGUCAGUAACAAAUUAAUAAUUACAACUUUCAACAACGGAUCUCUUGGUUCUGGCAUCGAUGAAGAACGCAGCGAAAUGCGAUAAGUAGUGUGAAUUGCAGAAUUCAGUGAAUCAUCGAAUCUUUGAACGCACAUUGCGCCCUUUGGUAUUCCAAAGGGCAUGCCUGUUCGAGCGUCAUUUGUACCCUCAAGCUUUGCUUGGUGUUGGGCGUCUUGUCUCUAGCUUUGCUGGAGACUCGCCUUAAAGUAAUUGGCAGCCGGCCUACUGGUUUCGGAGCGCAGCACAAGUCGCACUCUCUAUCAGCAAAGGUCUAGCAUCCAUUAAGCCUUUUUUCAACUUUUGACCUCGGAUCAGGUAGGGAUACCCGCUGAACUUAAGCAUAUCAAUAAGCGGAGGAA
rnacentral:rRNA from 3 species